rnacentral:rRNA from 1 species
CGCUGGCGGCGUGCCUAACACAUGCAAGUCGAACGGGGUAUCGCUUCGGUGAUACUUAGUGGCGAACGGGUGAGUAACGCGUGAGAAACCUGCCUUUCAGUGGGGGACAACAGUUGGAAACGACUGCUAAUACCGCAUAAUGUCAUUUGGGGGCAUCCUCGAAUGACCAAAGAUUUAUUGCUGAAAGAUGGUCUCGCGUCUGAUUAGCUAGAUGGCGGGGUAACGGCCCACCAUGGCGACGAUCAGUAGCCGGUCUGAGAGGAUGAACGGCCACAUUGGGACUAAGAUACGGCCCAGACUCCUACGGGAGGCAGCAGUGGGGAAUAUUGGGCAAUGGGGGAAACCCUGACCCAGCAACGCCGCGUGAAGGAAGAAGGCCUUCGGGUUGUAAACUUCUUUUACCAGGGACGAAGAACGUGACGGUACCUGGAGAAAAAGCAACGGCUAACUACGUG